rnacentral:rRNA from 1 species
UACGGGGGGGGCAAGCGUUGUUCGGAAUUACUGGGCGUAAAGGGCUCGUAGGCGGCCAACUAAGUCGGAUGUGAAAUCCCCAGGCUUAACCUGGGAACUGCAUCCGAUACUGGAUGGCUUGAAUUCGGGAGAGGGAUGCAGAAUUCCAGGUGUAGCGGUGAAAUGCGUAGAUAUCUGGAGGAAUACCGGUGGCGAAGGCGGCAUCCUGGACCGAGAUUGACGCUGAUGAGCGAAAGCUAGGG